CGGGAUGUGGCGCAGUCCGGUUAGCGCACUCGGCUGGGGGCCGAGAGGUCGCAGGUUCAAAUCCUGUCAUCCCGA
rnacentral:tRNA from 1 species